GAUGAAGAACGCAGCGAAAUGCGAUAAGUAAUGUGAAUUGCAGAAUUCAGUGAAUCAUCGAAUCUUUGAACGCACAUUGCGCCCCCUGGUAUUCCGGGGGGCAUGUCUGUUCGAGCGUCAUUUCACCACUCAAGCCUCGCUUGGUAUUGGGCAACGCGGUCCGCCGCGUGCCUCAAAUCGUCCGGCUGGGUCUUCUGUCCCCUAAGCGUUGUGGAAACUAUUCGCUAAAGGGUGUUCGGGAGGCUACGCCGUAAAACAACCCCAUUUCUAAGGUUGACCUCGGAUCAGGUAGGGAUACCCGCUGAACUUAAGCAUAUCAAUAAGCGGAGGA
rnacentral:misc_RNA from 1 species